CUUCGGGGUGUGACUGCGUACCUUUUGUAUAAUGGGUCAGCGACUUAUAUUCUGUAGCAAGGUUAACCGUAUAGGGGAGCCGGAGGGAAACCGAGUCUUAAUUGGGCGUUAAGUUGCAGGGUAUAGACCCGAAACCCGGUGAUCUAGCCAUGGGCAGGUUGAAGGUUGGGUAACACUAACUGGAGGACCGAACCGACUAAUGUUGAAAAAUUAGCGGAUGACCUGUGGCUGGGGGUGAAAGGCCAAUCAAACCGGGAGAUAGCUGGUUCUCCCCGAAAGCUAUUUAGGUAGCGCCUCGUGAAUUCAUCUCCGGGGGUAGAGCACUGUUUCGGCUAGGGGGCCAUCCCGGCUUACCAACCCGAUGCAAACUGCGAAUACCGGAGAAUGUUAUCACGGGAGACACACGGCGGGUGCUAACGUCCGUCGUGAAGAGGGAAACAACCCAGACCGCCAGCUAAGGUCCCAAAGUCAUGGUUAAGUGGGAAACGAUGUGGGAAGGCCCAGACAGCCAGGAUGUUGGCUUAGAAGCAGCCAUCAUUUAAAGAAAGCGUAAUAGCUCACUGGUCGAGUCGGCCUGCGCGGAAGAUGUAACGGGGCUAAACCAUGCACCGAAGCUGCGGCAGCGAACGUAUCACCCAAGACAACUUUACGGAGUUGACGAUUGACGGAGCGAAGCGACGUCAAAGCGUUCAUUAAAGUCGAGUUGGCUUAGGGAUACGUUCGUUGGGUAGGGGAGCGUUCUGUAAGCCUGUGAAGGUGUGUCGUGAGGCAUGCUGGAGGUAUCAGAAGUGCGAAUGCUGACAUAAGUAACGAUAAAGCGGGUGAAAAGCCCGCUCGCCGGAAGACCAAGGGUUCCUGUCCAACGUUAAUCGGGGCAGGGUGAGUCGACCCCUAAGGCGAGGCCGAAAGGCGUAGUCGAUGGGAAACGGGUUAAUAUUCCCGUACUUGGUGUUACUGCGAAGGGGGGACGGAGAAGGC
rnacentral:rRNA from 1 species